AGUCCAAGGCUUUUUUAGUCAAACUACCUUGUCUGAAAUGUUAUCUAAUAAAACGAAACAAAACAAAGAACAGACAAAAAGCACAAUGUUUCAGGUGUCUCAAUCCAUUAUUCUCUCAAUCCCCUGCUGUUUUUUAUCCUUCUUCAGAGGAUAGCCAUCACCUACCUGACAUAUCACAUAUUUAUGGUUUAUUAUUUGUCUCCCCAGCCCCCAGGAGAAUGUAAGUGGUAAACAUACUGGUAAAUGCUUAACAACCAGCUCUCUGAAGAGAAGGAAAAAGCAAUGACUUGUAGCAUUUGCUGAUUUUGUGGUGUGAAUCCACCCACCAAUGGUUGAUGUCAAGCUAUCAAUGUGGCUGAACACAAAGUUGAAGAUGCGUGUCUACUAACCUUGCCGAGGCACUCCGACUGUUUCAUAAAAGCUCUGGCUGUAUCCCCAGUGUCUAGAACAGAGCCUGGCAUGUAUUGACUGCUUAAUAAAUAUCUGGAACUGCCUUAUGGGAGUAAUGAGAGUAGUUUUCUAAAAACUGCUGGAAUUCUGCUGCUCUGAUUUUCCCCCUAACGUGCAAGGCUUCAGCAUCCCUUCCUUGGGAAGAAUGUUCAUUUUCCCAGCUUGUCUGUUUCUGGUUGUUGGACAUUGGCCAGAUUCUGUUUUAACUUCAACUUUAAGUGAAAAAAAAGCAUAAAGGGUUUGUCAGGUGAAAUUUUAAAUGCAGAUUGAGAAAAACGAGAUUAUCAUAAUGAGACUCGUGUUUGGGAACAUUGUGAUAACAAUGUGAUUCUUUUUCUUCCUCUUCUUUUUUAAACACUUGGGAUGACAUCAUUCAUUCUCUCCUUGGGGGUACAGGUCCAGCCCUCUGGCAAGCAUUUCUACAACCUUUCCCUCUGUAGCCUCUGCCUAGAAGCCACUCGCAGGAAACUAACAACCAGCUGGUGCUACAGUGAGACAGCCAAAUCCACUGUGUGUAGACCUCCGCUCCAAGCUACAGAAUGGCCUGGGAUGACCCUGAGGCCGUAUCUUCAGAGCAGUGAGCACAAGCCUUUCUGAGGGGAGAAGGCAGGUCCGGUAUUAGAGCCACUGUCUAGCGCCGAGGCUGUGGAAGGCAACAAUGGCAGGAUAUGCAAAGCAGUUGAAAAAUGAAUGAAAACGUAUUUUUUUUCCAACUUUCUGGAUAUUAAGC
rnacentral:lncRNA from 1 species